GCCCCCAUAGCUUAUCGGUAAAGCAACUCCCUUUUAAGGAGCUGAGGCGGGUUCAAUUCCUGCUGGGGGCA
rnacentral:tRNA from 2 species